GUACUUUUCAAAGCACAUGCACCAAAUAAAAACCAGGUGCUAAUUCUGUGACCACAAACUGGUUCCAGACAAAACUCAGUCUUUGAGUAACGUCUCUUGCCGGAGGGGACUUUGUAUAUAUCACCUAUUUAAAUGGUACCUUCCCAAAAAGACAGAGGCAAAGAAUAUUACUGGUUAAAAUGAAUACAGAACUAUCUGAAGGCUAUGCCUACCUUCCACAUUCUCAUUUGCCCAAAAUCUGAGCCCGAGGAGGCCACCCCGAGACUGGUGGCAUUCUGGCAUUGCACAGAGUCCAAUGGCAGGACAUUCUUUUGCCAGAACAGUUGUCUGGGUGCGUGCCUUGUCUGGUGCCCGUUAUCCUAAAACCCUUCUUGCUUGUCUCCUGUCUUGUAAACUGAAGACCUACGGCCUAGUGAGAUCCAUGAACGCAGAGGACGACUUCAUCAAAAAAGCCAAACUCGUGUAUUUCUUCAACACUCCGACUUGACCUAUGCCGAUGACUGGGGGAGUGAGGACGGAGGGGUACAGAGAAAAGGCAGCCAGCUUCUCCACGCCGGGCCACCCCUGUCCUUCAUCCUGAUGGUGACAGCGUCCACUCCUGCCUCUGCCAAGCGGUGGUCCAGGUGCGGAACAGUGGCUCUGAACAGGAGGGACAGGCAGCUCCCUGCGCCUCUCCAGCCGGGAGGCAGGCGGCAGAUAAACAAUGAGCCACAUAACAUCUGAUGAUGAAAUGAUUUCCACCAAUGGGAGGGUGUCAUAUUUGAACUGAAACUCUAAAUGACAAGAAACACCUAUGUCUCCAAAGAUGGGGGAGGAGGCAGGGCUUUCUGGAGAGCAGAAAUGGCAGGUGCAAAGGUCCUGGGGCUGGCGCUGUGGGCUGGAGGGAAGGCAGGGGCCAAAUAUUCAGGUCUUGUAGGCCAAGGCAAGGAGUUUAGGUAUUAUUUAAAUGUUAUUCCAAAACAAUUCUUUUUGAGACAGGGUCCCACUCUGUCACCCAGGCUACAGUGCAGUGGCACAAUCUCAGUUCACUGCAGCUUUCACCUUCUGGCCUCAGGCAAUCCUCCUGCCUCAGCCUCUCAAGUAGCUUGGACCACAGGUGCAUGCCACCACGCCCGGCUAAUUUUUUAAAUUAUUUGUAGAGACCAGGUCUCCCUAUGUUGCCCAGGCUUGUCUCAAACUGCUGGGCUCAAGCAGUCUUCCCACCUUGGCUUCCCAAAGUGCUGAGAUUACAGGUGUGAACCACCACGCCUGGUCCAAAAAGAAUUUUAAACCUGGGAAUUAUAUGAUCUAAUUUACUUCUUUAAAAAGUCACCCCUCCACUCCAUAGAAAAUGGACUGCAGGAGUAGAAGCCAGCAGACAGGUGGCACUGCAGGGAACCAGGGAACAUGAUGGUGGCUCAGAUUGCAGGGGCUGCUCAGCGAGAAGUGGAAGGACUUCAGAGAGAUUUGGAGGCAAAACCCACAGGCUUGCUGAUGAGUGGAACGGGUGGAGGUGUGUGAUGCAAUACUCAAAGGCAAGUCUCCAUGUAGAGAUUGAACCACUGCUCUGCUGAGAUGCAGAGGGCCAGGGAGGAGGCCAGCUUGGAAACAGCAUCGAAUGCGGCAGCUUAGUGAAUUGGAUAAGCCAGCCAGCUUGAGAUAGACGUUUGGGGGCAGCUGCUUGGAGAGCUUUGUCCAGGGACGUGGCUCCCGUCCAUCUGGUCAAGUGUGGACAUGCUCCAGCUGGACUUGAGGCAGCUCCUAUCUAGGUGGCCUGUCCCAUGCUGACAUUGCAGAAGUGGGAGCUACACAAACAGAAUCUUGCAGUUUGUAGGUAAACUACCUCCACAGGGGUUUUCUCAGAGACUAGAGUUUCAAGUGCAUCACAGCUGCCCAAAACUGCUAAGGUUGCAAGGCCCCAGAAGGAAGCCCUCCUGCACCCUCCCCUCCCACCUCCAGGGAGGAGCUAGCCUGGGAAGAAGUCUACCCUAUGUGGAAAGGCUUUCCAGGAAGCCAGUCCAACUUCAGGCCACUUAAGUUUACUUUUUGUGUAAAAUAAGUUCAUUAUUCAAACGUGGAGAUGGGAGGUCUGAAAAUAUAGGACAAUUCAACUCAAAGCCCUCAUUCUGAAAAUGAUGAGCCUGGGGACCCAGCAGGGCUAGGGUCAGCUCUGAUGAGCAGGGUCUGGCUGGAUUCAGAGCAAAUUAGGUCCCGCUGCUGCCCAGCCUACCACCUUGGGGAAGGCCAAGGGUUGGAGGGAGCCUUUUGUACAAACAAGCAAUGAGAAGAAAACACUCACUAGAUCACACUGCACUCCCAGGCGAUAAACCAAACUGGACUUUCCAAAGCCCUGGCACUUUUGAUCCGGCACUGGCUGGAGUCCCCCUGGGAGGGCCCUUGGCUGUGCUAUCGGCAACCAGGCCUGACUGAGCAGUGACUCAGCCAGGAGAGCUGAGGCGAUCCCCCUGGCCAAUCCCAGGACCUAGCCACACUCGGGAAGAGGAGAAAGAACUCCAGGGAUGAGUAAUCUUGCUCUAGCUGACUGGAGGAGGAAGGAGGGGCUGAGUAAUGCCUUAGCAAAGCCAGCACAAGCAUCCUGAUUCUAGAGGCUCAGUCUCACAAUCCGGGAAAUGGGCUGCAGGUGCACAUGACACAGAUCUGCUUUGAGGAUGAAAAAGGCAUCAUGGGAAGCUGCUGUCACAGUUGCGGGGUUGGAAGAUUUUUCAAUUCUAAAACCCCGUAAGUUGAGGAGUGGCCAUCCCAGAAGGAUCUGUUCACUGCUGAGCCCAGCUGGUGACAGUAGCUGUUGUAUCCCAAGAACUCUGAAGUUGUCCAGAUCAACCACCUGCACAGGCCCAGAAUACGUGGGGCAAGGAGCAAAAACACUGAAGAAGUCAGCCCUCUGAAAACCAAGGGCAGGGUGCCUGCCUACCACUGAGUCUUAAUCAGCACAGCAGAGAAUUUCUUCCCCUCCCCGUCCCACAUCAUCAAGCUGACUAGAACAAGAGCAGCAGAACAGGAGAGUGACACGCAGAAAGACACUCUCCAAGGUGUAGUGCAGAGGGCCGCCUCCUCGCCUCCCAUCCUCUCCCCCUCUCCAGCUUGCUCUCAUCUGUGCCCUGCGCAUGGGCUCUCCUGGGAAAAGCCAUUGUUGGGUGGCAGGAUUCUGAUGCCCCCCACGGGGACUGUGACAUCAGCAUUUGGUGGUGCUCAGAGGAAGAGAGAAAGAGAUGAAGAGGAGUGAGCAAGGCUUCAGGAGGGGGCACGCAGGAGACCAGCCCUGGAUUCAGACUUGAGCCUGGUCCACACCAGAGGCCGAUAGAAGGCUUGGAUUACAGCAGGGGCAGGUCAUACCACCCUUAACAAACUGCAGUCCCUACUGGCCAUUACACCGCAGAGCUGUGAGGAUGAUGGAUCUCCUGUUUGGAAGAGAAUGACCCAGGACGACAGGGGUGGCCAAACCAUGGUCUAAAUAUGAUAUCUGAAGAUGCUUAAUCUACAAAAGAAAAUCCAGUGUGAGGAAUAGGAGAUGGAAAUGUGGAGGCCUAGUGUCUAAGGGCUGGCAUUCAGGGGAAGAAUUACAUUUGUCUGUAAUCUCAAAGGCUAGGAAGGAUGGAGCUGGAUGGAUUUGGGAUCACCAUGAAAAGGACCUAUGACUGCAGCAUCCUCAGGAGACAGCUGGAUCAGCUAGAAAGCUUCAGAACGACACACAUCACUCUGCCAGACACCCACAUUGCUCCAGCUCCAGCAUCCGACAUCUGACCACAUGUAGGCAGCCACCGCUGCCCUGGCUCCACCAUUUCUCCCCAGGUCUAAGCUUAAGCCGCACUGCAUUGCUUCCAUUUCUUCGUGCUUGCUCUGUUCCCUUCUACCACAGGGGCUUUGUGCAAGCUCAGCCUCAACAUGGAUCUUCCCCCUUCUUCACCUGGUCAACAGCCACUCAUUCUUCAACCUUAGUUCGAGCAUCACCAACCUCCCAGGCUAUGUCAGUUCUCCCUGUUAGACACCCUGGCUUUUUCACAUAUCUUUUAUUCAAAGUAGUUACAUAUUAAAGCAUUCCAUUUGUGCAUACAA